rnacentral:rRNA from 1 species
UACGUAGGGUGCAAGCGUUGUCCGGAAUUAUUGGGCGUAAAGAGCUCGUAGGCGGCUUGUCGCGUCGAAUGUGAAAACCCGAGGCUCAACUUCGGGCUUGCAUUCGAUACGGGCAGGCUGGAGUUCGGUAGGGGAGACUGGAAUUCCUGGUGUAGCGGUGAAAUGCGCAGAUAUCAGGAGGAACACCGGUGGCGAAGGCGGGUCUCUGGGCAGUAACUGACGCUGAGGAGCGAAAGCGUGGGGAGCGAACAGG